AAAUUGAAGAGUUUGAUCAUGGCUCAGAUUGAACGCUGGCGGCAGGCCUAACACAUGCAAGUCGAACGGUAGCACAGAGAGCUUGCUCUCGGGUGACGAGUGGCGGACGGGUGAGUAAUGUCUGGGAAACUGCCUGAUGGAGGGGGAUAACUACUGGAAA
rnacentral:rRNA from 3 species